AACGAACGCUGGCGGCAGGCUUAACACAUGCAAGUCGAACGCCCCGCAAGGGGAGUGGCAGACGGGUGAGUAACGCGUGGGAACGUGCCCCAAGGUAGGGAACAACAGCGGGAAACUGCUGCUAACACCCUAUGUGACCGAGAGGUGAAAGAUUUAUCGCCUUGGGAUCGGCCCGCGUUGGAUUAGCUAGUUGGUGGGGUAAAAGCCUACCAAGGCGACGAUCCAUAGCUGUUCUGAGAGGAAGAUCAGCCACACUGGGACUGAGACACGGCCCAGACUCCUACGGGAGGCAGCAGUGGGGAAUCUUGGACAAUGGGCGCAAGCCUGAUCCAGCCAUGCCGCGUGAGUGAUGAAGGCCUUAGGGCUGUAAAACUCUUUCGCCGAGGACGAUAAUGACGGUACUCGGAGAAGAAGCUCCGGCUAACUUCGUGCCAGCCGCCGCGGUAA
rnacentral:rRNA from 1 species